rnacentral:rRNA from 1 species
UAGGGAAUAUUGGACAAUGGGCGCAAGCCUGAUCCAGCCAUGCCGCGUGAGUGAAGAAGGCCCUCGGGUUGUAAAGCUCUUUUGUCCGGAAAGAAAAGCUUUGGGUUAAUACCCCGAAGUCCUGACGGUACCGGAAGAAUAAGCACCGGCUAACUUCGUGCCAGCAGCCGCGGUAAUACGAAGGGUGCAAGCGUUACUCGGAAUUACUGGGCGUAAAGCGUGCGUAGGUGGUUCGUUAAGUCUGAUGUGAAAGCCCUGGGCUCAACCUGGGAAUGGCAUUGGAUACUGGCGGGCUAGAGUGCGGUAGAGGGCAGUGGAAUUCCCGGUGUAGCAGUGAAAUGCGUAGAGAUCGGGAGGAACAUCUGUGGCGAAGGCGACUGCCUGAACAAGCACUGACACUGAGGCACGAAAGCGUGGGGAGCAAACAGG